CUCAGAUGAUAGCCAAACCAGUGCAAACAGUUGGGAAAGGAGUGAGGAGAGGAAUGCUGUAUGGGGGGAGGGGCAGAAAAGGAAAAAUUUUUUAAGAAAGAAAUUAUCGUAACUAUGUUGUGCAUACAAUAUCAUGCAGCUAGAGCCAGGGCCACCCGCAGUCCUUCUCUAUCCCUCCUCAAUACCUCUCCUCCAUCCAUUCAGGGAACACAUUCAAAAGGAGCAAACAAUAUGGCAGAUGGCAGGAGGAGAAGACUAAUGGACACAGAGAAGACAGUCAACUGCAGGCCAGGAAGAGAACCCUCACCAGGAACCAAGUCAGCCAGCAUCAUGGUCUUGGAC